rnacentral:rRNA from 1 species
UACGUAGGGGGGCUAGCGUUGUCCGGAAUCAUUGGGCGUAAAGCGCGCGUAGGCGGCCCGGUAAGUCCGCUGUGAAAGUCAAAGGCUCAACCUUUGAAUGUCAGCGGAUACUGCCGGGCUAGAGUCCGGAAGAGGCGAGUGGAAUUCCUGGUGUAGCGGUGGAAUGCGCAGAUAUCAGGAGGAACACCAACGGCGAAGGCAGCUCGCUGGGACGGUACUGACGCUGAGGCGCGAAAGCGUGGGGGAGCGAACAGG